UACGUAGGGUGCGAGCGUUGUCCGGAAUCAUUGGGCGUAAAGGGCUCGUAGGCGGUCCAUCGCGUCGGGAGUGAAACGCUGGGGCUUAACCCCAGUCCUGCUUUCGAUACGGGUGGACUAGAGGUAGGCAGGGGAGAAUGGAAUUCCUGGUGUAGCGGUGAAAUGCGCAGAUAUCAGGAGGAACACCAAUGGCGAAGGCAGCUCGCUGGGACGGUACUGACGCUGAGACGCGAAAGCGUGGGGAGCAAACAGG
rnacentral:rRNA from 1 species